GGAGCUCCCACCGGAAGGGUGGGGCAGUGUUGGCUGGGAAAGAAUCUUCCGGAAGUCUGUGUCCUAGAAGUUAUCCCCGCACAAGCCACAGGCGCCUGAGCUGUGCGUGGCGGGAGAGGCAGGGCUGGCAGAGCCCGGGAGGGAGGCAGGCACAGAGCCACUGGGAGUGGGGCGGGGACGGAGCCGGGCUGGCAGGACUUGGGGCCAAGGCGGGACAGGCGAGUGUGACAGCCACAGCCAAGGCCAGGGCGGUGUCCCUGCACCCUGUGUGGGUUUGGGGGUGUCUGGCCGGGGCGGGGUGUGUGCGAAGUGGGUGGAGACAGAAAUCAUGCUGGGGAUGUCCACGCGGGAGCGUAGGAGUCAGUGCAGAAAACGCGUCUCCCUGGUGUCGGCAGCUCCGGCCCCCGGGCUGCUGCGGGAGCAAGUAGACCGGCUCCUUAGCGGCUCAGCGCAGCGGACGCCGAGUCCCAGCGGGGGCGUCCUCCUGCAGUGACUCAGGGGCCCUGGCUCUGUCUGUCCUCGGAUGCUCCCUUCCCAACACUUGGCUUCCAAGGUUGGACUGGAGCUGGGACCUGAUUGAACCCCUCGGUCCUCAGUGCCCAAGCGUAGAAGCCGUGGAGCCGCAUGGCCCUGGUGACUGGGCUGCGUGACCCCUCUGUGGCCCCCUCCUGACCUGAGAAAGUGGUGCAAACAUCCACCGCGUCAUCUGGUCGUUAGGAGCACAGAGCCUGACCCACGAUAGACACCACGGGCAUAAUAAAUGCCGCUUUCUGUUUGCUUCAGCAGGAUGUGGACAAAACCUUUAAAUUUGUUUUUAUGCAUUCAAUGCGUCCAGCUGUUACGACUCUGAAGCAAGUGUGAUUUUCAGUCUUUUGUAGUUGUUAUUCAGGGCAGUCCUGUUGUGCUGGGCUUGACUGAAGCGGCCAACACGGUCAUGUGUGUGUCUCCAGGCAGCAACCUGCAGUGAGCCCAAGAUCAUGGUCCAGGGCUCCUCCUCCCGGCAGGGAGGAACUGUCCUCAGCAUCCUCUGAGCCCCAGGUGUGCAGGGGGCAGGGUCAGGUAGAGAGAGGGGAGGAAGUUAGCUGAGGAACAAUGGCUAUUGGUCAGAUUUCCCUACCCCAACCCUGACACAAGCGCCUCGCACAUCAUUGGCUGAGAUCAGUCUCUCCAUUUUCCUAAUCGAUUCUUCAUGCAAAGCCACAUUUUGGAGAAAAGGAAUGGUUAGAAUCAUGGCAGGAUUGCUGAGGCAGUGAAUUGAAGAGGCUGCGUAGUGCUUGCAACCAGUUACCAUAUUUCCCUGGAGGAAUCACCAGCAACCGACUCUCCCAGGACUUACGAGGUGCUUCCCUUAUCACCAGCCGUCUCAGCACAAGUAGUGGAUGAGAAUGACCAAGUUACUGGUCAUGUGGAUGAGCACAACCUACUCACUUUAGAAGAGUUUCCUUCUGGGCCGGAUGGGCAGGGUGGCUGACGCCUGUAAUCCCAGCACUUUGGGAGGUUGAGGCAGGAGGAUUGCUUGAGUCCAGGAGUUCAAAACCAGCCUGGGCAGCAUAGUGAGACCCCAUCUAUACUAAAGAUAAAAUUAGCCAACUGUGGUGGUGCUCACCUGUAAUCCAAGCUAUUUGGGAGGCUGAGGCAGGAGGGUCACUCGAGCCCAGGAGUUCGAGGCUGCAGUGAGCUGUGGUGACACCACCACACUCUAG
rnacentral:lncRNA from 1 species